rnacentral:rRNA from 1 species
CGUAUGGUUCUAUUUUGUUGGUUUCUAGGACCGUCGUAAUGAUUAAUAGGGACGGUCGGGGGCAUCAGUAUUCAGUUGUCAGAGGUGAAAUUCUUGGAUUUACUGAAGACUAACUACUGCGAAAGCAUUUGCCAAGGACGUUUUCAUUAAUCAAGAACGAAAGUUAGGGGAUCGAAGACGAUCAGAUACCGUCGUAGUCUUAACCGUAAACUAUGCCGACUAGGGAUCGGAUGGCGUUACAUAAACCCAUCCGGCACCUUACGAGAAAUCAAAGUUUUUGGGUUCUGGGGGGAGUAUGGUUGCAAGGCUGAAACUUAAAGGAAUUGACGGAAGGGCACCACCAGGAGUGGAGCCUGCGGCUUAAUUUGACUCAACACGGGGAAACUCACCAGGUCCAGACACAAUAAGGAUUGACAGAUUGAGAGCUCUUUCAUGAUUUUGUGGGUGGUGGUGCAUGGCCGUUCUUAGUUGGUGGAGUGAUUUGUCUGCUUAAUUGCGAUAACGAACGAGACCUUAACCUGCUAAAUAGCUGUAACAAUAGAUUAUUGUUUUGACAGCUUCUUAGAGGGACUAUCGAUUUUCAAGUCGAAGGAAGUUUGAGGCAAUAACAGGUCUGUGAUGCCCUUAGACGUUCUGGGCCGCACGCGCGCUACACUGACGGAGCCAGCGAGUCUAACCUGUGCCGAGAGGUAUGGGUAAUCUAGUGAAACUCCGUCGUGC